GCGUUCGAGCUCACUUGCACACUACCGAAGCUGCACGUAGUGUUUUCAUUAUCUCCUCACAAAUUCGUUACCGAUACGCCAAAUGCGGCGCUGACUUCAGUUUAUCUAAUGCGAUUUCAAUACGUAGCUAAAAAGAUAGUAGCUCGAUACGACCAAUAUCUACCGUCCAUCGUGCUGGUGGUGUUGGAAUACAGUCGUAAAUUUUGGUCGGAAAAACAGCAUGACUCUGGUUUCUCUGUGUUUUCAUUUCUUCGUUUAUUUCUUCUUUUUUUCCAGCUAUUCCUAAUACGUUACAGGCGAGAGCCUGUCCUCUGUUUACUGCAGCUGACGAAUGCACCACAGCGCAGGUUUUACACAUCGAUCCAUAAAUCGUCGCUGAGCCUCGACCACGCCGAGAAGAAAUGAUUUUAUCGUGAACAUGUUCUUGCAUCUAACGAGAACUGGUUAUUCGUCAUGAGAGGAGCCUGCAGCCUGAGAUGCCGUCGGUUAUGUCCUUACGCGUAGCGUGUGGUGACGACACGCAAUACCUCGCAUGUAUUAUGAUGUUUAACUAUGAAAAAUAAAGGUAAACCAAAAGGAGGAGAAAAACAUCAACGACGCUGCUGGGGAGGCGCCUAGGGACUUUGUACGGUUGGUAAAAACCACGUCGUCAGCGCAAGCCGAAACCGACGCCCACGAACUAGGUAUUCCGUAUAGGUGUAUAAGUACAUAUCUAUAGAUCAGUACAGAUCCCUACGGUACACGUAUGUGCUCCACACUAGCCUUAGCAGAAACAUUUGGUCGCGGUAGAGUAUGCGUCAAAAAAAUGCGUCAAAUACUCUGCUUUCUCCGUAAUGUUUCAUUUUAUCGAUUUCCUUGUUUGCUUUUUGAGAAAAGUGCAGAGAAUUUUCGGUGAUUAUAUUGUGCAGCUUGCCGUGGAUAAAUUUAAAUUCGUUGUCAUGCUCGAUGAACUUUUCCAUGGAAUUCAAAGAGGUUAAUUUUGAAAAAUAAUUGAAUUCGCUGUUCGGAGACGGCCGGAAACUCGUGGAUACAAAAUCAGAAACGGAGUUAGCUUUUGUAUGGAAGAGUGCAAAAGGAUGCGUGGGCGUUUAGCACCUCAUGUAGAGCUGGCCUCAGUCGCCCGUAAACCGUAUACGAGUAUAUUACGAAUAACUAUAACAAUAGAGCGUGGCCUACACAGGCACGGACCACGCUGCCGUAGAUUGACUCAAUUAGGCACAGCGGUGUUCCGCAUGACCUUAAAUUCCCCAGAUUUACAACUUGUUAUAUGCCUACUACUCCUUCGUGUUAUUUUCAGACAAUUUUCUAUUAAACCUAUUAUCACACUACCGCUACGCUGACAUAUCCAACCUCACCUAGACUCAGUACUGUUUAAUUCUGGUUGUUCGUGGAUCAUGCAAGUCUGAAA